rnacentral:rRNA from 1 species
GUGACAGCCCCGUACACAAAAGCGCAUGUGCUGUGAGCUCGAUGAGUAGGGCGGGACACGUGGUAUCCUGUCUGAAUAUGGGGGGACCAUCCUCCAAGGCUAAAUACUCCUGACUGACCGAUAGUGAACCAGUACCGUGAGGGAAAGGCGAAAAGAACCCCGGCGAGGGGAGUGAAAAAGAACCUGAAACCGUGUACGUACAAGCAGUGGGAGCACAGGUUUACCUGUGUGACUGCGUACCUUUUGUAUAAUGGGUCAGCGACUUAUAUUCUGUAGCAAGGUUAACCGUAUAGGGGAGCCGGAGGGAAACCGAGUCUUAAUUGGGCGUUAAGUUGCAGGGUAUAGACCCGAAACCCGGUGAUCUAGCCAUGGGCAGGUUGAAGGUUGGGUAACACUAACUGGAGGACCGAACCGACUAAUGUUGAAAAAUUAGCGGAUGACCUGUGGCUGGGGGUGAAAGGCCAAUCAAACCGGGAGAUAGCUGGUUCUCCCCGAAAGCUAUUUAGGUAGCGCCUCGUGAAUUCAUCUCCGGGGGUAGAGCACUGUUUCGGCUAGGGGGCCAUCCCGGCUUACCAACCCGAUGCAAACUGCGAAUACCGGAGAAUGUUAUCACGGGAGACACACGGCGGGUGCUAACGUCCGUCGUGAAGAGGGAAACAACCCAGACCGCCAGCUAAGGUCCCAAAGUCAUGGUUAAGUGGGAAACGAUGUGGGAAGGCCCAGACAGCCAGGAUGUUGGCUUAGAAGCAGCCAUCAUUUAAAGAAAGCGUAAUAGCUCACUGGUCGAGUCGGCCUGCGCGGAAGAUGUAACGGGGCUAAACCAUG